rnacentral:rRNA from 1 species
CACGCAGUAAACGAUGAAUACUAGCUGUAUGCGAUAUACUGUAUGUGGCAAAGCGAAAGCGUUAAGUAUUCCACCUGGGGAGUACGUUCGCAAGAAUGAAACUCAAAGGAAUUGACGGGGGCCCGCACAAGCGGAGGAACAUGUGGUUUAAUUCGAUGAUACGCGAGGAACCUUACCCGGGCUUGAAAUGCAGACGACCGACUAGGAAACUAGUCUUCCAGCAAUGGCGUCUGUGUAGGUGC